AUUUAUUCAUUUAUUUUCUAUUUUUAAAAAUGCUUUGGAGAAGCAUCAUUAAGAUACUCUUCAAAUGCUGAGGACUGCUAGAAACAGCUAAUAUAUACCCUGAAGACAUGACUCAUCACCCAACAAGGUGCUUGCUAUUCUGUCCCCAGAAUGCCAUUAUUUCUCAAAUUUUAAAAGGCAAUCUGGUAUUGAAGAAGACUUCUCAAAUAAUAGUCACACAUAAAUAAAUAACUCCACUACUAGAGUUAAUGCGAUGAUAAUAAAUAAUGGGUAAUUUACAAGUCUACUUUGUAAUGUGUUCACUGAAUCAGUGUUUCAUCUGUGACCAAAACAAACUAGAAAUGUCUACUUAAUGUAGCCACCUAUUUUCCCCUCGUGCUUAUCUUGCUUUAUUUGGAGAGGGGAAAUGUCAAUGAGUAAACAUGUAGUCUCAUUAGCAAGACAUUAUAACUUACUCUAUUUUAUUUAUUUUUUGUUUUGUUGUUUUCUUUAUUGUGACUAAACUUAUUACGAGGAAAUGAAGGCAACGUCUCUCUUCCUUAGUUUCUUCACCUGUAAAAACGAAAACGAUGUAUCCACAAUAUUAGUUGUUGUUAUCAUCAUCAUCAAUGUCAUUAUGAUUGCCUUUACCUAAGUUCUUCAGAAAGCAUACUUGGAACACAGAGUUAAGGACAAAUGCUUUAUUCUGGUGUUUAAACCCAGAGAUCAAAUGAGAGUGACAGGGGAAGGAAGCAGAAACAAGAAAGAAGCAAUGCAAAGAUGUCUUCUUUAGUUGGCUACUGAUGGAGGUGAUUGGUUUCUUAAAUUUUAUAGGACCACCUGAGAAACAAUAUAAUCUACACCUUGAAAUCUCAUGUAGGCAGGGUUUGGGUGGGGAGCAUAUAUCUACUGGCUUCUGUCCUUGAUUCCUUACUGUGCCCACAUGGGAUGUUAACUCUCAUUGACCCUCAGGUUGUGAAAAUAUGGACAUCAAGCACAUCCGACUUGGAAAAGCCCAGGGUAAGGAGGGAGGAGGCACACAACACAGACCUGAGACAAACCGUGGUCAGAAGUUACCUACAGGAAGCUGGACAGAGCUUAUGCAGGACCGUUGUUGCCCAAGUGCUGGAAUAAAAGCCAGAGACUACCAUUAUUUACACCAAAAAGAGGUCACAGAAGAUGAUGGUCAAGUUGGUCUAAAUCCUAAGUUAUUUCUCCUCCAGACACCUCAGAAAUGCUGUGUUCACAAAACAGGUAUGCUUUUUUUUCUAGGCUGACUUUUGCUCUCCACUCUACAAAAAUAUAGAUUGAGCACUUAUUGAUGCCAUUUAUCUAGCAAUCACAGACAUAACUGAUUUAUGACAUAUGUCUUAUUACUAUCUGUGACAUUAUUUGAAUAGUUGUUCUUACAUUGAAAAUUAAUAAGUUUAAGUGAUUUCUUCUUCAUGGGCAGGACCUAUGACUUUCUUUUCUUCAUGCCUCCUACAACAUGACAGUGUCUGGGUGUCUAAUUUGAUAUUUCUUAUGUCAAUGAAUUCUAGGGUUUCUCAGACAUGGCACCAUUGACAUUAGUGCUGGAUAAUUAUUUGUUGUAGGGGGCUAUCUUGUGCAUUAUAAGAUAUUUAGCAACACUCUUGGUCUCUAUGUAUGAGAUUCCAGUAGCACUAACAUCCUGACCUGUGUUAUCAUAGCCAAAAAUGUCUUUAGACAUUGCCAAGCGCCCCUGGAGGGAGGGGGGUGAUUCACCCCUCAUUUAUAAACAGAGGCUUACAUGAACAAGGGGUGACAUUCAGCACUUAAUGAAAGUUUAGUCUAAGAGAAUCAGUAUUUAUUUCAUUUAGAUGUUAAUUGACUGUACUUCUCUUGGUCAGACUUCAUCAGGGUGCAAAUACUUCUCUCUUCGAUUCUCUACGCAGGAUUGAAUAUUUUUUUAAUGCUUUCUUCAAAUCCUUUUUUCCCUAAAUCACCUACAUUUUCUUCAUCAAGCUCUAUUUCAUCCUGAUUAAAGCUCUAUCACCUACACGGAGUGGUUCACUCGUAGCUACUGUUAGAUUAGAAGGGAAAGUAAAACCCAUUUCUAGUAGUAUGUGUUAGAUUGUCAUUCCACAUAUCUAAUCACCAAGUUCUAGCAGUUUUAUUUCCUAAACAUCUUUCAAAUCUUUGACUUUACUUCAUCCCUGUUUCAGUCCACUGUCAUGUCUCACUGAGAUCGGUACCCUACUUGUUGGCUCUGGUACUUUCAUAUGGGUGCAAAAAUCAGGUACAUUUAUUGGAAAAGGAAAGGUGUCAAGGAAACUGGUCUUAAAGCUUUAUUUGCUUAAACUUUCAUGUAUAUUUUAAGUUAAAGGUAAUAAAAUAGAGAUGUCAUAAAGAUUUUUACUAAAAAUUUACUAAUCAAGAGAAUGUCAAUUGUCUGUUGACAAUUGUCCAAGGUUAUUAUUAUGGGUAGUAUAGUAAUAGCAGUAAUAACACAGGUAAUUGUAGAAGUAGCUUUGUUUGAGGCAAAUAGUGGGAGUGAGAGUUGAUGAAAACCAACAGUUUUUUUUUUUUGAGACAGAGUCUCGCUCUGUCGCCCAGGCUGGAGUGCAGUGGCGCGAUCUCGGCUCACUGCAAGCUCCGCCUCCCAGGUUCACGCCAUUCUCCUGCCUCAGCCUCCUGAGUAGCUGGGACUACAGGCGCCCGCCACCACGCCCGGCUAAUUUUUUGUAUUUUUAGUAGAGACGGGGUUUCACCGUGGUCUCGAUCUCCUGACCUUGUGAUCCGCCCGCCUCGGCCUCCCAAAGUGCUGGGAUUACAGGCGUGAGCCACCGCGCCUGGCAAAACCAACAGUUUGUUAUCACUCUGGUUGCCCAGUCUUCCAGCAGCCAUUUGGAUGUUCACACUCAUCCUCAUCAUUGAUUCUUCAUUCCUCAGGUAUGAGCUUGUGGAGGGAUUAGUGUAGACUGGACUAAAAAGGUCAUUUUAUCUAUGAUAUGCAUACACACACACACACACGGGUGACAGACGUUAUCGCACAACUUUAAAUUAUGCCAUAUUUGUGUUUUAUUACGAGAGGCAAUGGCCUGUGGUGCCCUGCGAAUUUUUCCAUGUGUUCUAUAAUAUAUUUAGCAUGGCACUAUUUUAUGCCACUGAUCUUUUUGUAUGUGCAUUAAAGUGUUGAUAGUGUAAGUGGAAAUACUUAAAAUAUAUCUCAAGUUUUAGGACAAAUUUUGGCAAUUUUUUAUUUUAAAAAUAUAUACUGUUAACAUGAGAGUGCAUUCUAGGAAAUGGAUGCACGAAAUAGGUUGUUAGAGGUUUUUAAAAUAAAGACACCCUUUGCAUGAUGCCGUAGUGAUAGUUCUUCUGAUCUUUUCAUAUCUCUGAAAUCAUCAUGCACCCUCACCUCUAGUUUAUUUUAUUUGCCUUUCCUGUAAUUGUUGUUCAGUCUUUCCAAGCUGUUUUAUCCAUGAUGCUCCCUAAAGUACAGCGUCAUAUGACAGCUUGCAUGCCGAUAGUUUAUUUUAGGAAGUGAUCCCAAGAAACAGUACUAGGGACUGGAAAGAGUGAGGCAGAGGAAGGGAGAAAACCAAUCCCAGGGUGCUUUAUUCAUCUAAUCGCUACUGUGGACAACUGGAGCUCAAUCAAUCCUACCAGAUACCCUUGAGGACCUGUGUAAAGCGAACCUCAGAACUGUCCAGUUUAGAGAUGACUGAGGGUAGCGUUUAUUCACUACUCUCCUUUUUCCAUUGGUCAAGGAUUGUCCUUGUAGUGUUAGCUCCCUCACACCUCUGAUUUGUGUGUGGGUCAGAAUGACUUAGCGAGUUCUUAAAGGAGUCCCAUGAGGUGGUGGUAAAAAAGCCUCAGGAAUCAGAAUGAGAGAUACAGGAGGCAGCUGAAGCAGCUGUUGUCAGUUUACAAAUGCAUGCAGCUGAUUUUAUAGCGAUGUCUGAAGUAAAAAGAUGGGUUGUAAGAAUGUGAGACGGGGCCCUGUGAGUAUCCAUUACAUAGGUGUUAGUGACGAUCAUGAUCUUCUUCAUAAUGUCAAAGGAGUAAAUAGAUUGACCAUUAUCAUUUAAACUUGGAAAGUACUUACUUUGCAUGACUUGAUGAUCUCUAAUGAGAAAAAUACUGACUACACUGCUCAUGGCAAUAGAGUUAUAAAUUUUUGCAAAUAUGAAACAAUAUUAAAUGUUCAUUAGAUAAUCAGCACUCUAAUAAUGUGGCAUUGCUUGGAGCUCUACUAGGUAAACUGUGCAGUAUAAGAAACCUCUCCAAACAGAAAAUAAUAGAAGUAGAGACUUCCACUAUCACUUAAUUUGUGAUGGAUUAGGAAAGA
rnacentral:lncRNA from 1 species